rnacentral:tRNA from 1 species
GGCAGUUUGGCCCAGUGGAUAGGUCACUGGACUGGAAGUCAGGAGACUCAAGUUCUAUUCCUGGUUCUGCCA